GAAUAUUGCGCAAUGGGCGAAAGCCUGACGCAGCGACGCCGCGCGGGUGAUGAAGGCCUUCGGGUCGUAAAGCCCUGUCGGGAGGGACGAAACAUCGGCAACCCAAUACGUUGUCGACUUGACGGUACCUCCUAAGGAAGCACCGGCUAACUCCGUGCCGGCCGCCGCGGUAAUACGGAGGGUGCAAGCGUUGUUCGGAAUUACUGGGCGUAAAGCGCGUGUAGGCGGUUUCCUAAGUCUGGUGUGAAAGCCCGGGGCUCACCCCCGGAAGUGCAUUGGAUACUGGGAGACUAGAGUACCGGAGAGGAGGGUGGAAUUCCUGGUGUAGCGGUGAAAUGCGUAGAUAUCAGGAAGAACACCGGUGGCGAAGGCGGCCCUCUGGACGGAUACUGACGCUGAGACGCGAAAGCGUGGGGAGCAAACAGG
rnacentral:rRNA from 1 species